GAGUUGUGACCUUCAUAUCCAAGAAUAACAUUAAUCAACUAUAUUUAUUAUAAUUUGCCAGAUCGUCGUAGUGGCCAUAUGAAAUGCAUAUCAAUUUUGAAUAACUCGUGAGGAUAAUGAUACGCAAUUUGCGCGUAUAACCUAAAACUUAUUAUUCUUCGCCUCUAACGAAAAUCUCUACCGACAUAUAAUUGAAAAGCGAUAAUGAGAUCUUUUGACAAAUUAUUCUGAAUAUAAAUUAUUCUUUAUUCUGCUUUCGACUUUAGAUAUAGAACGUUAUUGUCAGACUUCCCGUCAAAUGUUUGGGGAUACAUAUUUUAGCUACAAUAGUCCGAAAAUAAAGUUUAAAUCGUGAAAUAUGUGACCUAGUGGAAAAAAUAACUGGUUAAGGUUACUGCAGUUAUAGUUUAUAAAUCUGAUCAGAAAAUUCAAUUUUACGAAUAUGAAUAAUCACAUCAACAUUUGUGAAGUAGUAUUCCGAAACAAGACAGAAAAAAUUAUGCCGAUUGUGAUUCAGCUAAGAUUGUAUUAAAGGAUCUUCAAAGUGACUACACAACUUAGUUGGCGUGCGGAAAGUUUGCUGUAUAAUUUUAUCAGUAACACUGUUGAAAGCUACAAUGCUAUCGUCAGAAAGUUCAACAAAGAAAAGCGUAUUCAUUCCGAACAGAACAUUCCUGUAACACUCAGUGCGCAGAUGUUGUACAAUUCAAAAUACCAGAGUCGUACUCAAAGUUGAGUGUUACGAUGGAAAAGAAUCCGACUACCGAAUUUCAACUACAAGCAAUAUUUUUAAUAAUCUCAAUUAUGAUAUAAUUAAGGAACGCAAUAAAACUAAAAAAGAUGAAGUACUUUGAUCUUCAAAAAACUGCUGUGCCACGUAUAUACUGAACAUGAUUGAGAGCUGCAGCUUAUUUACUUGAUGGCUUGAACACAGCCUGGAAGAUCGAAAAGGCACCGAAUGAAUCCAGUAAGGGUUCCAAGAAAGCACUGAGUUGAAAAUGGACAAAAUUGUACGAAGUGAGUACUGCAAGACAACUUUGAGGGAGUCUAGAAUGUGUACGGUAACAGCUCGAAAAUGGUGUGAUGUGGGAAAACUAAAACCCUAAAGGUGAUAGUCUGCAGUAUGGAAAUGCAACGAAGAUGGUAUGGAGUGACUGUACAGAGCUUACAAUUAGUGAUCAUACUGGAUGACAGGACCUCUGACGCUGAGGGUUGAUUGAUGCAUGUCAGGUACACGCUGGAUUUUGAGAGGGCCAUCGGCUUGACAAUACAAGACGCAAAUCAUGUAGCAUUAUUUAGUAUAAUUAUUAGACUCAUCCUUAAAAAAAGUCAUUUUUGUAUUUGAACCGGCACAGCACUUCCUGGAUCGGUUAAAAAGAAAUUAGAAAAGAUUGGCCUAAAAUUUGAACAUUCUA